rnacentral:tRNA from 1 species
GCUUUCAUGGUGUAACGGUAGCACAUUCGGCGCGUAUUCGAGAGGUCUAGGUUCGAGUCCCGGUGAGAGCA